CAGGACAAUUAGGCAGGAGAAGGAAAUAAAGGGCAUUCAAUUAGGAAAAGAGGAAGUCAAAUUGUCCCUGUUUGCAGAUGACAUGAUUGUAUAUCUAGAAAACCCCAUCGUCUCAGCCUAAAAUCUCCUUAAGCUUAUAAGCAACUUCAGCAAAGUCUCAGGGUACAAAAUCAAUGUGCAAAAAUCACAAGCAUUCUUAUACACCAAAAACAGACAAACGGACAGCCAAAUCAUGAGUGAACUCCCAUUCACAAUGGCUUCAAAGCAAAUAAAAUACCUAGGAAUCCAACUUACAAGGGAUGUGAAGGACCUCUUCAAGGACAACUACAAACCACUGCUCAAGGAAAUAAAAGAGGAUACAAACAAAUGGAAGAACAUUCCAUGCUCACGGGUAGGAAGAAUCAAUAUCGUGAAAAUGGCCAUAGUG
rnacentral:lncRNA from 1 species